rnacentral:rRNA from 1 species
CCCCUAGACGUUCUGGGCUGCACGCGCGCUACAAUAAUACGCACAGCGAGUAUCACCGAGCUCGAAAGGGCAAGGUAAACAAUAGAAAAGGUACUGUAAUGGUUAUAGAUCCUUGUAAUUAUUGAUCUUCAACGAGGAAUUCCUAGUAAGUAUGUGUCAUCAUCACGCACUGAUUACGCCCCUGCCCUUUGUACACACCGCCCGUCGCUCCUACCGAUUGGGUGAGCCGAUGAAACUCUCGGAUGUAGGCUAUUCAUAGCCCGCAGAAGAGAUUUGAAUCGUAGCGCUUAGAGGAAGGAGAANUCGUAACA